UACAGAGGGUGCAAGCGUUGUUCGGAAUUAUUGGGCGUAAAGCGCGUGUAGGCGGCUUUGCAAGUCAGGUGUGAAAGCCCUCAGCUUAACUGAGGAAGUGCGCCCGAAACUGCUUGGCUUGAGUACCGGAGAGGAUGGUGGAAUUCCCGAAGUAGAGGUGAAAUUCGUAGAUAUCGGGAGGAACACCGGUGGCGAAGGCGACCAUCUGGACGGAUACUGACGCUGAGACGCGAAAGCGUGGGUAGCAAACAGG
rnacentral:rRNA from 1 species